ACGAAUGUAAUUAAUCAAAAUGCUGCAUUCAAAAAUUGCACGUAUGUAUAGCAUAAAAUAUAAUGUAAGACGAAAGAACAACGUAAUCAGUUCAGAAUUACAUGUUGUCCCUUACAAUCUCUUAGAACGUUGAAUCAAUGAUCUCGUGCGAGCUUUCAAAUGCUGAAUAUAACAAGGCACUGACCGGUAGAAAAGAAACUUAAUCUCGCUUAGUUUUAUGGCCACCGGUUCUUCCUUUUUCCAUUUUUCAUUCGAAUUGAUCGCACGAAGUAAUAGAAAUACCGUGACUCGCAUAAAAUUGUAUUCGACGUGCAAUCUACACGACUCCAUCGCAUUCAAAUACAUACGUAUAUUUACAACGUGAUAAGUUUCCGUGCUACCAAAGUUAGCGCCGGAGGUGGUCAUUAUCCUGCAUAAAUACCGAUAAUAUAAUAGUUCAACGACGCAGAAGCAUUUCGCGUGAAAGCCAACGGCGAAACUCAGUGAACGACGUUUGAGAGGCGAGAAGAGGGAACAUGUUGGAGCAGUGGCCAGAGUUGGAUGGAAGGAACAUAAAACACAAGUCGAUCAACGACGUCGAGCCGCGUAAACCAACAGCACCGAGUAUAGUUGCAUGUAUAAAGGCAUUGCCCGCGCCUUUCAGAACCUCCGCGAAGUAUCGCGAAAAACUUAGUUUUGCCAAGACGAUAAAUCAUCUUGAAAUUCGCCCGGGCUGACAGCCAUGUAGUUUUACGAGGGCCUGCACGCAAAAUGCAAAGCAGCGCCCGCAGACCCUGUGGGCUUGCAUCGCAAUUAAUUAGCGUUUCGUGAUACCCGUGCAUGUGCCGAACCACUCUUUUUUUUUAUGUCAGCUAACUAAAAACUGCUCGCACGAUAAGCUAACACCAUUCGAUGAUCCUGGGGGACGUGUAGCAACGUUCCAAAGGACAUGGAAUACCCGACCGGAGAUUAACAAUUCUAUGAGGAAAUUUUUCUACGAGACGAAAAUGAAGAACAAGGGACGCGCCUGGUUCGUCUCGCGGAAUGAUCCUGAUGACGAAUACAAAUACAGUGAAAGUAAAAUUCUAAAAGAGUGAUAUACGUAGAGAAUUGUUGAAUUGGCAUGCGAGUAUGUUAGCAAGUAUGACGAGAUAAUUGGAAGUUACUGACGUGACACGUAAAGCAGUACUUUUCGACAAUUAUUCUUCAUGUUAAUUCCAGCAACUUGUUCUUGCAGAAGCUUGUCAAAACUGAAAAGUGAAAAAUCUUUUCGAAAUAAGACGUACAAACAAAAUCGCUCGUUUCUUGAAGCACAUGUUAAAUAAAUGGAACUAUGAAACUUGACAAAGAAUACACAGAUUACUAAAAAGUGGCCAUACCAUACAGGAAAUAAGAACGUAUAGAGGGGCAAGGUGCGAGAUGAUAAUAAAUCUAACAAGUAGAAGAAUAUGGUAUUUUAUUAAAAUCCUUACAUUAAUGAGAACGUAGAAUUAAAUUCUCAUAAUGCAAGCAAAUUUUGAAAAACUUCAUAGUCU